rnacentral:misc_RNA from 2 species
AUAAGCUAACAACAAGCAAAACAUUUUCAUUCUUUCCCCUUUUUAGAAUGAAAAUCCCAAACUCCCUUUUUGA